rnacentral:sRNA from 1 species
GGCCGCUGCCCUCCUUGGGCGUUUCCUCCCUAGACUAGAGGCCGCAGGUGCGAGAGCGCUUGCGGCCUUCUUUCUGUAGGAU